rnacentral:lncRNA from 10 species
AAAAAAAGAAAGAAAAUAUUAUCAAAUAGGUUCAUACUUUGGUGGGGUUUUGGUUUGUUUUGACUAAAACCCUUCAUUCUCUGUACUGUAUUUGAACAAUACCUAUUGAUGGACAUUUCUGGUGUUUUCAGUUUUUGAAUUUCUACACAGUCCUGGAAUGAACAUUUCAUUUGUAUGUCUCGCUAAUUUUUAUACUUUUUGUAGAGUGCUGGGAUUACAGGCAUUUGUAUGUCUUGUAAUUUGUAUGUCAUCUUGCAAUUGUGUACUAUGUACCUUGGAUGUACCUUUUAAAGAUCGUUGGUGGUGGGACACGUGUUUUUUGAGGAAGAUGGUACUGAGGUCAGCACCCUGGCUGCCCUGAGAGUGCAGUGCCACGUUCCCCACCCUCUCGCCAACCACAGGAUUAUGCUGCAAAUGUAAAUCUUUACCAAUUUGAUAGGCAAAAAAUGGGAUCUCAGCAUUUUAGCCUGCAUCUCUGAGUACUAACGAGGCUGAACACGAAAUGAGCUUAUUUUCUUUUCAGAAGCCCCUGAAUGUGACAGUGAUCCGCAGGGGGGAAAAACACCAGCUUAGACUUGUUCCAACACGCUGGGCAGGAAAAGGACUGCUGGGGUAAAGUAUCUGUUUCUGUUCAUUCUCACUGGGGCAUCAUUUGAGUGUUUGUUAAACAUGAAGCUGGAGGGGAAGGCUGGGGAGACAUUGGGGAAUAAUGGGAAUCCCCAGUUUGCAUGGAAACUGCAGAUAAAUCCUCGUGGUAGGAACGAGACUACAGCUCUAGAAGCAGAGGGAGCCCCAGAGUCUCUCCUGGGAGUCUCUCCAGUUCAUUCAUGCACUAGGCAUUUGCUUUAAAAGAAUGAAAGAACAUUGGUGAAAAGGUCAGAAGGGCUCAGCCUCUGACCUUCCUGAAGGGAGCCUCCAAACUUACGCCAUUCCUUUUCUUCUUUCUUCCAGCUGCAACAUUAUUCCUCUGCAAAGAUGAUUGUCCCUGGGGAACAGUAACAGGAAAGCAUCUUCCCUUGCCCUGGACUUGGGUCUAGGGAUUUCCAACUUGUCUUCUCUCCCUGAAGCAUAAGGAUCUGGAAGAGGCUUGUAACCUGAACUUCUGUGUGGUGGCAGUACUGUGGCCCACCAGUGUAAUCUCCCUGGAUUAAGGCAUUCUUAAAAACUUAGGCUUGGCCUCUUUCACAAAUUAGGCCACGGCCCUAAAUAGGAAUUCCCUGGAUUGUGGGCAAGUGGGCGGAAGUUAUUCUGGCAGAGGAAACUCUACAGAGAAGAAUGUCAGAUGCAGCAGAAGCUCCCCGAGAAGCAACAGGAGAAAAUGGAGAAACAGAAAUGAAAGAAGAGGAGGAACCUAAUCCAAA